UAAACCAUGUCAUUUCCUGUUGACAGCAGGUGGCGCUAUGACUGUAACUGAAUAUUGGACUGUAGAUAGCCGCAGGUCCGGAUUCCUAUCAAAUAUGUGAAGUUUGGUGUAGAUUGAACAGUGUGUGAAUUAUAACAACUUCCUGUUUCGUGGCAUUAGCACUUAGCUAAGUGUUGCUAGCAUGGUGUAACAUGUUUCUAGCGUGUUGCUAGCAUAUUUACCUCUUGCUGGCAUAUUUUACAAUGUUGGUAGGAGUGCAUCACAGUGUAAAACGUCAUUUCCUGUUGCCAGCAGGUGGCGCUAUGACUAUAACUUAAUAUUGGCAUGUAGAUGUCUUCAGGCCAGGACUUUUAUCAAACGUGAAGUUUUGGGAAGAUUAGGCAUUGUACGCUUGAGUGAUAACUUCCUGUUUAAUAGCAUUAAUAGCACGCUUUAGCACUUAGCUAAGUGUUGCUAGCAUGUUUUAACAUGUUUAGAAUUUGCUGGCACAUUUUUAUAUGUUGCUAGGAAUACAUCAGUGUAAAACAUGUCACUUCUUGUUGGCAGCAGGUGGCACUAUGACUAUAACUGAAUAUUGGCAUGUAGGUAGCCUCAGGCCAGGUUUUCUAUUAAAAAUGUGAAGUUUGGAGCAGAUUGAACAUUGUAUAUUUGAUUUAUAAGAAGUUCGUUUUUCAUGGCGAAACAUCGAAAUUUGUGAGACCGCCACGACCACACGUAAAUUUUCACCGGUUCUGACAGGUCUGCGAAGUUAUGUGAGUUUUCGGGUAUGUUUGGGCCCUCUAAAAUGCAAUUAAUUUGAGGAAUGAAGAUGAAGAAUUAAAGCUGCAAGCGGCGGUAAACGGGCCCUCGCACCCACUUGCAUGUUGGGGCUGCUCUCACUCCAGCGUCUCACUAGCAAACACUUCCAGAACAAGGAGUAGAUGAGACAACCACCAGGACCACAACUUCUCUCAAGACUGAAUGUCGAGGAAGGUGAUCAGAAGGUGCUUGGAUCAAAACCCAACUUGAGCUCUUGGCUAAUGGAGUUUGAGGGGUUGUGUGCUUAGAGGUGUGGAGGAGCAGAUUGUGGGUGGGUGUGUUCCUCUGGAAGGUGCAGGUGAUGUGUGAGUGUAGGCUGGGGGAUAGGUGGUGGAAGAGGAUAGAGCAAUUGGAAGGAGGGUUGUGUGAGUGGGUGGUGUGAACUCAGGAGGCAGUGGAGGAUUGUGGGGGUAAAUGCAGUGCAGGUGAAUGAUGGAUUGAGGUAGGGGCAAUCUCAAGGAAAGAAGAAAGAGAAGGAGGAGCAGAUGUUGGAGAGCGCACAUCCUGGAGUGCAGAUAAGGAGUGUGUGUGUGUGUGUGUGUUGGAGGGAGGUGUGCACUCAUGGGAGCAGCAAUGGACAGCAAUGGCCAACAGGAAGGUUGUGAGAAAAACAGAAAAAGGCUAGAGAAGUGUAGAGGAGAGUGACAAAAAACCAGUAUAAAACCAGGAGCCCAGGACUGUGACCUUUUGCAUCUACCUUAUCUUACCUGAGUAACCACACACACUCAUUGUCUCAUCUGGAGGAUGUGCACCCACCUCCCCUGCAACUUCUCUUCCUCCUAAGGCUUCACCUACACCCCCCAUUGUUCUAUCCCCUUCUGCCACUUAUCCCCCAGCCUACACACAGCUCACACUCUGAUAGCCAAAAGCAUCGGUUGGGUUUUGAUCCAAGCACCUUCUGAGCCACAGCUGCAACGACUCAGACGACUGAGCCACAGAGCCUCUUGCAUACCCCUGUCUCCACCACACCUUUUUACUGUUUCAGCACCUCUUUUUAUUCUUAAACCUGCCAAAAAGUGGGUUAAAACCUGCAUAAACAACAACCACAACACCACAGAUGAACAGAAGCAACCAUUGUGUGUUGGACUUUUAUCAUUAUAAAUCACUUGACGAGACCACAGCAAUUUUUGGUCUUAAACCAGCCAAAAGGCAGAAGAGAACCCACACAUUCUGGAACCCCACCACUGGCACAAACUCUAACCACUACACCACAGAGGAGCAGACAAAACAUGUGUGUGUUGGACUUUUGUCAUCAUAAAAUGUCAUUCACAAGGAGACAGAAAUUUUUAGUCUUAAACCAGACUCAUGAAGUGAUUUAUAACGACAAAAGUCCAACACACAAUUGUUAGGUCUGUCCCUCUGUGGUGUAGCAGUUAAUGUCAGUGUCAGAGUUGUGGUUCCAGAAAGUGUGUUCUGUUCUGCCUUUUGGAUGUUUUAAGACUAAAAAUUGGGCAUCCAAUUG
ensembl:lncRNA